rnacentral:ncRNA from 1 species
AGAGAGUCAUUAGUUCUCUCAAAAGGGUGUGUAGAUAGCGUGAACUUUGGCCGGUUCUGUGGUCUGUGAAUC